AUUGAACGCUGGCGGCAGGCCUAACACAUGCAAGUCGAACGAGUGGCGGACGGGUGAGUAAUGUCUGGGAAACUGCCCGAUGGAGGGGGAUAACUACUGGAAACGGUAGCUAAUACCGCAUACCAUCGGAUGUGCCCAGAUGGGAUUAGCUAGUAGGUGGGGUAACGGCUCACCUAGGCGACGAUCCCUAGCUGGUCUGAGAGGAGGACCAGCCACACUGUAACUGAGACACGGGCCAGACGCCUACGGGAGGCAGCAGUAGGGAAUCUUCCGCAAGUGGCGAAAGCCUGACGGAGCAACGCCGCGUGAGUGAUGAAGGUCUGCGGGUUGUAAAGUACUUUCAGCGAGGAGGCGUUACUCGCAGAAGAAGCACCGGCUAACUCCGUGCCAGCAGCCGCGGUAAUAC
rnacentral:rRNA from 1 species